UGGAAGAGGAGGCAAGGCUGGAAAGCAAAGGCAGGAUUUUGCUUUCCUUUUGGCAAAGGCUGGCUAGAGCAAGGCAAGCUUGGUUGUAGCUCUGAUUUAAGUAACACUGAAGUGAUAAAGCUGGACAAUGUCUGAAUUACCUCUGCUGAAACCCAAGGAGUUAUUCUGUAGCUGAUGGCUACUGCCAGGAUUAUUAGGUUUGGGGAAGAUUUUAGCUUGUUUUGACCAAGUGUCUAAUGGAACACGAAGCAAGGAAACAGAUUGUGUCUGUGGCAAAGAGCAGUGUGGAAUGGGGAGGAGAAGCACCGAGAGGAGGUUUUGCAGGAGUCACAAAAUGAGUAGAAUAAACAGAUUUCAAACCUGUCCAGUGUACCUGGCCUUGUGUUCAGCCCCUUAGAUGGUCAGCGGUGCCAUCUUGUGUU